rfam:Candidatus Magasanikbacteria bacterium RIFCSPLOWO2_12_FTLL_43_12 rifcsplowo2_12_scaffold_1198, whole genome shotgun sequence.
GCCGAGGUAGCUCAGUGGUAGAGCAGAGGACUGAAAAUCCUUGUGUCGCGAGUUCGAUCCUCGCCCUCGGCA